UGAAGAANGCCUGCGGGUNGUAAANNNCUUUCGGUGGGAACGAAAUAUGCCGGGUUAAUACCCCGGUAGGCUGACGUUACUCAAUGAAGAAGCACCGGCUAACUCUGUGCCAGCAGCCGCGGUAAUACAGAGGGUGCGAGCGUUAAUCGGAAUUACUGGGCGUAAAGCGCACGUAGGUGGCGACGUAAGUGCGGGUGUGA
rnacentral:rRNA from 1 species